rnacentral:rRNA from 1 species
UACAGAGGGUGCAAGCGUUAAUCGGAAUUACUGGGCGUAAAGCGUGCGUAGACGGUUAUUUAAGUCAGGUGUGAAAGCCCCGGGCUCAACCUGGGAAUUGCAUUUGAGACUGAAUAGCUAGGGUGCGGAAGAGGGAAGCGGAAUUUCCGGUGUAGCGGUGAAAUGCGUAGAUAUCGGAAGGAACACCAGUGGCGAAAGCGGCUUCCUGGUCCAGCACCGACGUUCAGGCACGAAAGCGUGGGGGGCAAACAGG